UCACCCUGUCAGGGGUUCUCUCCACCACAUAACGAAUCUGUGGGGACAGCAAACCCUAAGAUAUCACCUCUGCUGCUUUUACUACUUACUGCUGAGUGCUGUGUGUAUUUCUCAAUGACAAGUCAAAAGGGUUCACCUAAGAAUUUUAAGAAAGCAAACCUUUCCCUGGGAUGCAUCCCAAAGCAGAAGGCCUGACUUGGACCAAAGACAUAUGCCUCCAUAUGAAAGCAGCUAGAGCUUGGACAUCUAGAAAAAUUUGUAGAGUUGAACACGAGAAGCCAGUCUUCCAAAGACAUCCUCAACACCUUCACUGGUUUGGUUUACAAGAUGAAAUAGACCACAGAUCUACAUCUGUAAGGAAAGGAUUAAUAACUUUUAGGGUAUGUGCCUUAAACAAUUGCUCGGUGGUGAAAGUUGUUGCAGAAAACAUUGACCUUUGUGGAGAAACUUGUUGCAGAAACAAAGAAGCAAAGUUUCAGUUUUGGCCUUGCAGAGGCAGGACCUAACCUGAUACUUUUUGCAGCAACCUUCUAGUGUGUUGUGUCAUAGGACAAGUGGAAAACUGCACAAGCAGGGUCACAAACUUGACUUUGGGGGUAUUUGCCUUGUAUGACCCCCAGAGCAGACCCCCGACAACCACCAAACCAAGACCAGAACAUGUGCAACGACGAGACCCCGCCCUACCUUCACCUUGUGCGAAUGAGGGAGCAUAGAAAAGUGACUCAGGGAGUGAACCAGGGUGGACCUGCCACCACAAAGGGGACCCAGGCACUGAAGGACUAACGGGACACUGCGGGAUCCACAGAGGUGACCAUUUCCUGCUUGCUCUCUCUCACUUUCCCUUUUCCCUACAUGCGUAUUGUUACAAAUAAAGUCAGUAUUGUCAAGCCAAUACUUGGUCUCAUUUGCACCUUAAUUUGCACAGAGGACUUUAACAUCAAAUCAUAGCAACAUCUUUAGUUCGUAUUGUCAGAAGCUGAAAAAAGGAGUAGCUAAAAUUUAUUUUCAGGUAAGUUACACUCAAUAUGCAUCCCAGCAAGGUAUCAGGGAGCUAGAAAGCCUGCAAACCAUAUACAAGCAAACAGAAAGAAGAGGAUAGGAUUAAAAUAGCUGAUGAUCAGAAUGGCAAACAGACAUAAAGCUUUUAGGAUCUAAACCUCCAUUUUUCCUGGGGGGGAAACCACCA